CAGCCGCCGCGGUAAUACGUAGGUCCCGAGCGUUGUCCGGAUUUAUUGGGCGUAAAGCGAGCGCAGGCGGUUAGAUAAGUCUGAAGUUAAAGGCUGUGGCUUAACCAUAGUACGCUUUGGAAACUGUUUAACUUGAGUGCAAGAGGGGAGAGUGGAAUUCCAUGUGUAGCGGUGAAAUGCGUAGAUAUAUGGAGGAACACCGGUGGCGAAAGCGGCUCUCUGGCUUGUAACUGACGCUGAGGCUCGAAAGCGUGGGGAGCAAACAGGAUUAGAUACCCGCGUAGUCCCUGUCUCUUAUACA
rnacentral:rRNA from 1 species